AUAUCAAUAAGCGGAGGAAAAGAAACCAACAGGGAUUACCUCAGUAACGGCGAGUGAAGCGGUAACAGCUCAAAUUUGAAAUCUGGCUCUUUCAGGGUCCGAGUUGUAAUUUGUAGACGAUGCUUUGGGUGUGGUGCCGGUCUAAGUUCCUUGGAACAGGACGUCAUAGAGGGUGAGAAUCCCGUAUGUGAUCGGUCGCCUUCGCCCGUGUAAAGCUCGUUCGACGAGUCGAGUUGUUUGGGAAUGCAGCUCAAAAUGGGUGGUAAAUUUCAUCUAAAGCUAAAUAUUGGCCAGAGACCGAUAGCGCACAAGUAGAGUGAUCGAAAGAUGAAAAGCACUUUGGAAAGAGAGUUAAACAGUACGUGAAAUUGUUGAAAGGGAAGCGCUUGCAACCAGACUUGGGCUGUCGCAAUCAUCCGGGGCUCGCCCCGGUGCACUUGUGGCGGCACAGGCCAGCAUCAGUUUCGGUGGUGGGAUAAAGGCCUUGGGAAUGUAGCUUCUUUCGGGGAGUGUUAUAGCCCUCGGUGCAAUGCCGCCUACCGGGACUGAGGAACGCGCUUCGGCGAGGAUGCUGGCGUAAUGGUUGUAAGCGACCCGUCUUGAAACACGGACCAAGGAGUCUAACAUCUAUGCGAGUGUUUGGGUGUCAAACCCAUACGCGUAAUGAAAGUGAACGGAGGUGAGAACCCGUUAGGGUGCAUCAUCGACCGAUCCUGAUGUCUUCGGAUGGAUUUGAGUAAGAGCAUAGCUGUUGGGACCCGAAAGAUGGUGAACUAUGCCUAAAUAGGGUGAAGCCAGAGGAAACUCUGGUGGAGGCUCGCAGCGGUUCUGACGUGCAAAUCGAUCGUCAAAUUUGGGUAUAGGGGCGAAAGACUAAUCGAACCAUCUAGUAGCUGGUUCCUGC
rnacentral:rRNA from 1 species